CUGCUAGCAGAUUAUUUCUCAUCGAGGUUCGCUCUCAACAAAGUAGCUCGAUGACAACGUUUGUAGCUACGCUGCUGCUGCUGCUGAACAAAUAGACCGACGUACGUGGUGGCGGUGCCAAUGGACUGUAGUUUGAUUAUGUCAAAUGCAAAUGACUUUUGAGAUAAAUUGGUUUGGUGAGAAUCAAAUCAAAGAGACGAGAAAGAGGGCGACACGGAGAGAAGCCAUUAAAAUGCACUGAGAGAGCUUGAUUGAUUGGAAAUGAAGAAGGCCAUCACGAAGUCUUCGAAUCAAAUCCGACGUCGAAAACGAAGCAGCGGCGGCAGCCGCAGGCACUUAAGAGUUCUCAAUCACUUCAUCUCCCACAACCUGUCUCAUCUCAUUAUUGUAUGCAUCUAUCCUCAUAUUAUUAUCAGAUCAGAUCAGAUCAGAUUGUCCCCCUUGAUGUACGGCGCCGCCGUGUACCGCCCCACUCCCUCCGACACUUCGUCGUGCUCUUCCCUUUCUCUAUUAUAUAUAUUCAGCCAUUUCGGAUUA